AGUGAACGCUGGCGGUAGGCCUAACACAUGCAAGUCGAACGGCAGCACAGUAAGAGCUUGCUCUUACGGGUGGCGAGUGGCGGACGGGUGAGGAAUACAUCGGAAUCUACUUUUUCGUGGGGGAUAACGUAGGGAAACUUACGCUAAUACCGCAUGCGACCUACGGGUGAAAGCAGGGGAUCUUCGGACCUUGCGCGAUUGAAUGAGCCGAUGUCGGAUUAGCUAGUUGGCGGGGUAAAGGCCCACCAAGGCGACGAUCCGUAGCUGGUCUGAGAGGAUGAUCAGACACACUGGAACUGAGACACGGUCCAGACUCCUACGGGAGGCAGCAGUGGGGAAUAUUGGACAAUGGGCGCAAGCCUGAUCCAGCCAUACCGCGUGGGUGAAGAAGGCCUUCGGGUUGUAAAGCCCUUUUGUUGGGAAAGAAAAGCAGCAGGUUAAUACCCCGCUGUUCUGACGGUACCCAAAGAAUAAGCACCGGCUAACUUCGUG
rnacentral:rRNA from 1 species